rnacentral:snoRNA from 16 species
UGAGAAAAAUAUUUCAUUAGCUCUAGAUCAGGAGCUGCUCUCGCAGCGGUGAUAGACAUGUAUAUUAUCUGAUUA